rnacentral:rRNA from 1 species
AAGUCGAACGCACUUUCGUUAAUUGAUUUUGAAGAUGCUUGCAUCGAAGAUGAUUUUAACUAUAAAGUGAGUGGCGAACGGGUGAGUAACACGUGGGUAACCUGCCCAGAAGUGGGGGAUAACACCUGGAAACAGAUGCUAAUACCGCAUAACAAAAUUAACCGCAUGGUUGAUUUUUAAAAGAUGGCUUCGGCUAUCACUUCUGGAUGGACCCGCGGCGUAUUAGCUAGUUGGUGAGAUAAAGGCUCACCAAGGCAGUGAUACGUAGCCGACCUGAGAGGGUAAUCGGCCACAUUGGGACUGAGACACGGCCCAGACUCCUACGGGAGGCAGCAGUAGGGAAUCUUCCACAAUGGACGCAAGUUUGAUGGAGCAACGCCGCGUGAGUGAUGAAGGCUUUCGGGUCGUAAAACUCUGUUGUUGGAGAAGAACGUGUGUGAGAGUAACUGCUCAUGCAGUGACGGUAUCCAACCAGAAAGCCACGGCUAACUACGUGCCAGCAGCCGCGGUAAUACGUAGGUGGCAAGCGUUAUCCGGAUUUAUUGGGCGUAAAGCGAGCGCAGGCGGUCUUUUAAGUCUAAUGUGAAAGCCUUCGGCUUAACCGAAGAAGUGCAUUGGAAACUGGGAGACUUGAGUGCAGAAGAGGAGAGUGGAACUCCAUGUGUAGCGGUGAAAUGCGUAGAUAUAUGGAAGAACACCAGUGGCGAAGCGGCUCUCUGGUCUGCAACUGACGCUGAGGCUCGAAAGCAUGGGUAGCGAACAGGAUUAGAUACCCUGGUAGUCCAUGCCGUAACGAUGAAUGCUAAGUGUUGGAGGGUUUCCGCCCUUCAGUGCUGCAGCUACGCAUAGCAUCGGCUGGGAGUACGACGCAGUGAA